UACGUAGGCAGCGAGCGUUGUUCGGAGUUACUGGGCGUAAAGGGCGCGUAGGCGGUCGUGACAAGUCACUUGUGAAAUCUCCGGGCUUAACUCGGAAAGGUCAAGUGAUACUGUCGCGCUAGAGUGCGGAAGGGGCAAUCGGAAUUCUCGGUGUAGCGGUGAAAUGCGUAGAUAUCGAGAGGAACACCUGAGGUGAAGACGGGUUGCUGGGCCGACACUGACGCUGAGUGCGCGAAAGCCAGGGGAGCAAACGGG
rnacentral:rRNA from 1 species